AGAUUAUGCCGAAACAACGAUAACCAUGAAACAAAAUGUCAACCGUUCAUGUUCGUUUUUCCAUGAUUGACGGACAUUUGAGGUUUUCAGCUUAAAGAGUAAGAUGAUUACAUGAAGAAAAUGUCAACGUGCCCUGAUCUUAAGAAAAACAAAUCAAAGGCUAGGGUUUGUCCAUUGUGCCUCAGUGAGAAGGGGAUCAGGGUCGCCCGGAUCAGACUGACGUAUGUUGUACGAACGAUAUGACAACGCACGAGUGUAGUUCUAUGUGUUGCUUUUGAGCAUACUUCACUGUACACACUCCAAGUGACAAAAGAGGAAAGACCUCAGGCGAUAUCAGGUGCUGGGGGCGCACCCGCACCCGCAACCGCGACCGCCACCGCACGAGAACAUGACCAGGACUCCAGUGACUCGGAGGAGGAGAGGAAGGAGGAGCAGGAGGAGGCUCAGUUCCUCACCACGGAAAACUGCAAAGGUCUACCACCCAGCGCACUAGUAAUGAAGGGCCGACGAAGCUUUGAGGCCUGAUUCCGGCACCUGUCUUCCGGAUGCGGUUGUGAAAUGGCGGCCCCCUGGAUAAAAUAGCGCAGUGGAAGGACGAUCUGGAAGUAGAUGACGGAUAAUUUCAGAUGCAGCCAGGAACCGUAAGGAGCACCAUUGGCUCCACCGUGAUGUUCCUGCGGUGGGCCCAGGACGAGGGGCUGUUGGCAGCCGGUAUUGCUGACGAGGCCGUUCGCAAGCUGCCGGGCUGCGCUGGUGCUACAAAGAAGGCGGCCAUAAGACGCACCGUGGAGCGCAGGGUUCAGGAGACGGCAGGCAUCCCACCAAACAUCGACCUUUAGGGCGAGCUCAAUUCGAAUAUUACAUAACCUGCAUGGAGGGCUUCCGGCGCCUGCAGAGUACUUUCAUCACAUAGGAGGCAUCUUGAUAGUACUGAUGGCCAUGCGCAUCGGCUCCCGCGCCGGGGAGUUCGUUCAACUCCGAAUAUGUAUACUUCCGUUGCACAACUUUAACCCAUUCAUUCAUUCAUUGAUCACAGUAUGUGCAUAUAAAAGUGGGGUUUGCAUUGCAUUGCAGUUCAAGUAAGUGGAACAAGCGCUGCCGUUCCGUGGCGGCCUCCACUUCACUGUGAGCAUCGACGCUCACAAGACAGCCAAGUGGGGGCGCUACGCCUAGUUCCUACUGCAACGGGAGGAGAUAAACCUGCUGCGCCGCUUCUGUGAGGUUGAGGUACUGAUAGUUUACCCAACAGUGCAGGAGCAGAGCCGCAGAGACUGCCAUGUGUUCGGGCGCGGCACGUCCAACCUCGACCUUAACCACAGCCACAUUAACAAGUGGCUGGAGAGAGCAUGGGCGAAGUAAGUAUUUACUUUCUGGAUUGAUUAUGCUAUGUAUCAUUCAAUGAUUAGACAUACAAUGAUUGUUAUGACAAUCACACUUGCCUUAAUAAAUGUCGAUAUUCUUCAGGUUGGGACUAGCGGCGAGAGAUUCCAACAUUUCAGUUCAACCUUAUGCUCAACCGAAAACUGGUCACAGUUCAGGUGCGACAGUUGGACGCCGGGAAGGCUGAUCAGGUCGCGGACACGCUGUGCCACAAGCGAACGACGGCCGAUCAACAUUAUGGCGUCGCUGACCAGCGGUAAGUUGAUGCGAGAAUUACUUUCAAACAUUCGUUCACGUACAACAAACUUUACAUAUAAUUGUCGAGCAUAUACGAACGUUAACAUUCUAUAUUCUUUCAAUUUGCAGGAACAAGACCCAGGGCACUUACCUGUGGAUGCUUAAAGCCAGGAAAGGAGGUUUUGCGACACCGCCACCACCAACAGCCCCAGCAGCCCCGCUGUUGCAGACGAUUGCAACGAAAGCAGCCCCAACAAGCCGCGUCGCUCCCACCGCCACCGCCAAAUGCCCCAGCAGCCCCGAAUGACUCAGAAGAUGACUGCUUUGAAGCAGCCCCCAGAAGCCUCGCCACUCCAAUGGAGCAGAAGCAAAGGUAACCGAUAGCCAGUACUUCCUGGGCAGGUCAGCAGCCAUACAUAGCAUCAUUGACAACGAAGUUGAAAGAACCCACUCCUGUCAAAGUGUAGGGUGCAGUUGUCUGGACUUCCCAGAGUAAACCCUAGCAGCCCCACUGUCUCCGACGAUGACUGCGCCGACGAUGAAGCAGCCCCAACAAGCCGUGCGCCCCCACCACCAAUGCCACCACCACCAGCCCCAGCAGGCCCGCUGUCUCCAAAGAUGACUGCCCUGAAGCAGCCCACCACAAGCCGCGACGCUCCGACCGCCACCGCCAACAUCCCCAGCAGACCCGUUUUUUCCAAAGAUGACUGCUCUGAAGCAGCACCCAAAAGCCGCGCACUUAUGCGUACUUCCGCGAUCACAGACCAGCGACAAAAGCAGUGGUAGCUGUUGGAAGACACAGCAGGGGAUUUAUAUUUAUAUAUAAAUUCAUAUACGUUUCUGUCAAUAUACAUUCAUAUAUAUUUGACAUAUUACACAGUGUCCGCUCCACAGAAAGAGUUGGACAUACCGCUGCGAAGGAAUCGUUAGAGCAGGAUGACGACCCAGACAUAACUUCCGCCGACGGAUAUUGACGAGUCGAAGGUAAGACUUCCCAUUGCCCGGAAGACCUACAAUACGGACCAAGAGACCAAGGAAAUGGAGGAGCUUUUUCGCGACCACAUAGAAUGGGCUGCAUCGUGUAAUAAGACCAUCACCCGGCAGACGGUCCACACUACCCGAGGAGACCGCGUCUCCGUCGGACAACCAGAUCCGAGAGAAACUGAAAAACAUUACUAAGAAAAUAAAUAAAUAUGUCAAAUAUUACUUUUACUAUUGAAAGACAACUGUUAACCUUUAGUCAGUCAGUCAGAAUAACAAAAAGUUGAAGGAGGCGGGUUCCGCGACCGCGAAGUCGAUGCCCCUGGUUGACCGACCAACCGACCGACC